UACGAAGGGGGCUAGCGUUGCUCGGAAUGACUGGGCGUAAAGGGCGCGUAGGCGGUUUAGACAGUCAGAUGUGAAAUUCCCGGGCUUAACCUGGGGGCUGCAUUUGAUACGUCUAGGCUUGAGUGAGGAAGAGGGUUGUGGAAUUCCCAGUGUAGAGGUGAAAUUCGUAGAUAUCGGGAGGAACACCAGUGGCGAAGGCGACUACCUGGCCUGUUCUUGACGCUGAGGCGCGAAAGCUAGGGGAGCAAACGGG
rnacentral:rRNA from 1 species